CGUGUAGGCGGUGCUGUAAGUUGGGCGUGAAAUCCCCGAGCUUAACUCGGGUGGGCCGUUCAAGACUGCCGUGCUAGGGUGCGGGAGAGGGAAGUGGAAUUUCCGGUGUAGCGGUGAAAUGCGUAGAUAUCGGGAGGAACACCUGCGGCGAAGGCGGCUUCCUGGACCGUAACCGACGCUGAGGCGCGAAAGCUAGGGGAGCAAACAGGAUUAGAUACCCUGGUAGUCCUAGCCCUAAACGAUGAGCACUGGGUGUGGCCCCUCACGGGGCCGUGCCGAAGCUAACGCAUUAAGUGCUCCGCCUGGGGAGUACGGUCGCAAGGCUGAA
rnacentral:rRNA from 1 species